UACGAAGGGGGCUAGCGUUGUUCGGAAUUACUGGGCGUAAAGCGUACGUAGGUGGAUUUGUAAGUAAGGGGUGAAAUCCCCAGGCUCAACCUGGGAACUGCCUUCUAGACUGCAAGUCUCGAGAUCAGGAGAGGUGAGUGGAAUUCCGAGUGUAGAGGUGAAAUUCGUAGAUAUUCGGAGGAACACCAGUGGCGAAGGCGACUCGCUGGACUGAUACUGACGCUGAGGUACGAAAGCGUGGGGAGCAAACAGG
rnacentral:rRNA from 1 species